ACGUCCUGCCCGUGAUCGUCUUCUCACCUUUCACGCAGGCAGGCGGAGAGAAGGAGGGCCCCCGCGAGGACGUGACUCGCGGGGGCCCUCC
rnacentral:ncRNA from 1 species